rnacentral:rRNA from 1 species
GACGAACGCUGGCGGCGUGCCUAAUACAUGCAAGUAGAACGCUGAAGGAGGAGCUUGCUUCUCUGGAUGAGUUGCGAACGGGUGAGUAACGCGUAGGUAACCUGCCUGGUAGCGGGGGAUAACUAUUGGAAACGAUAGCUAAUACCGCAUAAUAGUAGAUGUCGCAUGACAUUUACUUAAAAGGUGCAAUUGCAUCACUACCAGAUGGACCUGCGUUGUAUUAGCUAGUUGGUGGGGUAACGGCUCACCAAGGCGACGAUACAUAGCCGACCUGAGAGGGUGAUCGGCCACACUGGGACUGAGACACGGCCCAGACUCCUACGGGAGGCAGCAGUAGGGAAUCUUCGGCAAUGGACGGAAGUCUGACCGAGCAACGCCGCGUGAGUGAAGAAGGUUUUCGGAUCGUAAAGCUCUGUUGUAAGAGAAGAACGAGUGUGAGAGUGGAAAGUUCACACUGUGACGGUAUCUUACCAGAAAGGGACGGCUAACUACGUGCCAGCAGCCGCGGUAAUACGUAGGUCCCGAGCGUUGUCCGGAUUUAUUGGGCGUAAAGCGAGCGCAGGCGGUUAGAUAAGUCUGAAGUUAAAGGCUGUGGUUUAACCAUAGUACGCUUUGGAAACUGUUUAACUUGAGUGCAAGAGGGGAGAGUGGAAUUCCAUGUGUAGCGGUGAAAUGCGUAGAUAUAUGGAGGAACACCGGUGGCGAAAGCGGCUCUCUGGCUUGUAACUGACGCUGAGGCUCGAAAGCGUGGGGAGCAAACAGG